rnacentral:rRNA from 1 species
GGAUCAAUGUGUUGGUCGUGCCUUGGUACGUACUAAUUUAUUGGUUUCUUCCUUCUGACGAACCAUGAUGUCAUUAAUUUGGUAUCUUGGGGAAUCAGGACUGUUACUUUGAAAAAAUUAGGGUGUUUAAAGCAGGCUCACGCUUGAAUACAUUAGCAUGGAAUAAUGAAAUAAGACGUUUGAUUCUAUUUUAUUGGUUUCUAGGAUCGACGUA